AGAUGGGUAGCUCAGUUGGUGAGAGCGUGCGUCUGAUAAGCGCAAGGCCGUCGGUUCGAGUCCGACCCCGUCUA
rnacentral:tRNA from 1 species